GUGCCCCGCGGUAAUACGUAGGGUGCGAGCGUUGUCCGGAAUUAUUGGGCGUAAAGGGCUCGUAGGCGGUCUGUCACGUCGGGAGUGAAAACUCAGGGCUUAACCCUGAGCCUGCUUCCGAUACGGGCUGACUAGAGGUAUGCAGGGGAGAACGGAAUUCUGGUGUAGCGGUGAAAUGCGCAGAUAUCAGGAGGAACACCGGUGGCGAAGGCGGUCUCUGGGCGAUUACCUGACGCUGAGGAGCGAAAGUGUGGGGAGCGAACAGG
rnacentral:rRNA from 1 species